CAUUUUUUUUUUUUUUUUUUAAUAUUUGUAAAUAUUUUGGGAAUGUUGAAUCCUUUUUUGUAAUAAAAUAAGAAUACGUCGACCGUUGUGAAUUCUGGAGGCUUAAUAUCCGACUAUAUAGUUCUCUGGAAGUCAAUCAGCGGUCGUAAUUGCACGACAUCGUAGUAGCUGUUUCUGUGAAGAAGCUUAAGUAAUUUCCACCAAAAUGUGCUGCGGACCUUGCGGAGGCUGUUGUGGACCCUGCGGUCCUUGCUGUGGGCCCUGCGGUGGCUGCUGCGGUCCCUGUGGACCCUGCUGUGGCCCCUGCGGCGGCUGCUGUGGGCCAUGCUACUCUUGCUGUGGCCCCUGUGGCGGCUGCUGUGGUGGCUGCGGUCCCUGCUGCUAAAAGAGAGCCAUCUUCAGAACGAAA